rnacentral:rRNA from 1 species
CUACGGGUGGCUCCAGUGGGGAAUAUUGGACAAUGGGGGAAACCCUGAUCCAGCAAUGCCGCGUGUGUGAAGAAGGCCUGCGGGUUGUAAAGCACUUUCGGUUGGGAGGACUGCUUCUAGCACUAAUAUUGUUGGAAGUUGACGUUACCUUCAGAAGAAGCACCGGCUAACUCCGUGCCAGCAGCCGCGGUAAUACGGAGGUGCAAGCGUUAAUCGGAAUUACGGGGCGUAAAGCGCGCGUAGGCGGCUAGAUCAGUCGGGUGUGAAAGCCCCGGGCUUAACCUGGGAACUGCAUCCGAUACUGUCUAGCUUGAGUACAGGAGAGGAGAGUGGAAUUCCACAUGUAGCGGUGAAAUGCGUAGAUAUGUGGAGGAACACCAAUGGCGAAGGCAGCUCUCUGGCCUGAUACUGACGCUGAGGUGCGAAAGCGUGGGGAGCAAACAGGAUUAGAUACCCGAGUAGUC